GGGGGGGUGCCGUAGCCUCGAGGUUUCGCUUCGUAAGCGGAAGGUCAUGGGUUCGAUUCCCAAUCCUCCCU
rnacentral:tRNA from 1 species